AUGGUUUGGUUAGUGCACAACGUCAGUAUCUCCACGCCGCGGGGAAGCGGAGCUCUAGAGACGCUGCGUCUGUGUGCAGACGAGCAGAUGAAGGUUUGGCCCCAUGUGACCGCGUCUGAUGUCACUCACGCCACACUGCACUCAAACCACAGACGCUACUGUGUGAAGCUUCAUCUGAACACCAACAAACUAACACCACAGCAACAGAAAAUCAUGAUUCACACCACGACAGAACUAACACAACACAGUCCUGGAGAGGAAAAUAGCACCAGUCAGUAUGAGACACACACACACACAGAGAGAGAGAGACACACACACACACAUACAGAGACAGAGAGAGACAUACACACACACACAUACACAGAGAGACACACACACACACAUACAGAGACAGAGAGAGACAUACACACACACACACACACAGAGAGAGAGAGACACACACACACACACAGAGAGAGAGACACACACACACACAGAGACACACACACACAGAGAGACGCACACACAGGGACACACAGAGAGAGAGAGAGAGACACACACACAGGGACACACACCCAGAGAGAAAGAGACUCACACACACACAGACACACACAUACACACACACACAGGGACACACACAGAGACACACACACACACACAGAGACACACACAGGGACACACAGAGAGAGAGAGACACACACAGACACGGACACACACACAGAGACACACACCCAGAGAGACGCGCACACACACACACACACACAGAGAGAGAGAGAGAGAGAGAGAGACACACAGGGACACACACCCAGAGAGACGCACACACACACACACACACACACACAGAGACACACACACACACACACACAGAGACACACACAGGGACACACAGAGAGAGAGAGACACACACCCAGACACGGACACACACACAGAGACACACACCCAGAGAGACGCACACACACACACACACAGAGAGAGACACACACACACAGACAGGUGAAUCUCAUCACACCUGUCAGGAUUACGUCCAGCUCACAUUUCAGAAACAGAUUUUUAUAUUGUAACAUUUUUCAUAAUCUUCCAGCCAAAUAUGCUAAAGAUUUGAAUUUCAUAAAUCUGAAUUUGAUGAUUUAA
rnacentral:lncRNA from 12 species